CCAUAAUAUCCUCACCAUCCAGACCCCACGGCCGUUCAUAGAGACUUUGAAGGCAGCAUAUUUUGGAAAUGUUUGCGUGAAAUGGAUUCAUGUGAUCGAGCUGGAAGCAGUGCAGGCGCAUGGAACAGGCGCCAUCUGCCAACAAAGUAAAGCUUGUGUUCCUGAAAUGUCUUUUUUCCAUUUGCG